CAAUAGCGUAUAUUAAAGUUGUUGCAGUUAAAAAGCUCGUAGUUGGAUUUCUGCUGAGGACGAUCGGUCCGCCCACUGGGUGAGUAUCUGGCUCGGCCUUGGCAUCUUCUUGGAGAACGUUGCUGCACUUGACUGUGUGGCGCGGUAUCCAGGACUUUUACUUUGAGGAAAUUAGAGUGUUUCAAGCAGGCGCACGCCUUGAAUACAUUAGCAUGGAAUAAUGAGAUAGGACCUUGGUUCUAUUUUGUUGGUUUCUAGAGCUGAGGUAAUGAUUAAUAGGGAUAGUUGGGGGCAUUCGUAUUUAACUAUCAGAGGUGAAAUUCUUGGAUUUGUUAAAGACGGACUACUGCGAAAGCAUUUGCCAAGGAUGUUUUCAUUGA
rnacentral:rRNA from 1 species